UAAAGUUUUUGGUCAAGGUAAUUUUUGAUGAAGUUGAAGUCCAAUCAACUUGAAACUUAGUAUACAUGUGCCCUAUGAUAUGAUCUUUCUAAUUUAAAUGCCAAAUUAGAGUUUUGACCCCAAUUUUACGGUUCACUGAACAUAGAAAAUGAUAGUGCAAAUUUCAGGUUAAAGUUUUUGGCUUCAGGUUAAAGUUUUUGGUCAAGGUAGUUUUUGAUGAAGUUGAAGUCCAAUCAACUUGAAACUUAGUAUACAUGUGCCCUAUGAUAUAUCUUUUCUAAUUUAAAUGCCAAAUUAGAGUUUUGACC
rnacentral:lncRNA from 1 species